CAGAAUAAGCAAUUUAGAGCUGCAACGAUUGGUUGAUUAGUCAAACAUGUGUCGAUAUACUAGCUUCCUAAAUGAUAUUUUUCUCUGCUUUACCGGAUUUGAUAUAGUUUUAACAUAUUUGGAUGUUGGGCUCUGGGGAACUGUGAUUUUUUUCUGACAUGUUACUUAUCGAUUAAUCAAGAAAACAAUGGGUCAGCUGCUCAAUCUCAGUCAUCACUUCUGCGAUCUCAAACUUCAGCCGCUGCAGAGAAGAAAACAGCAAAUCGACUCUCCAGGCUUGAUGUGCAACAGAGCGGCUCUCUGCUGCGACUAGGACCGCUGGGCUGCUGGUCUUCACGUAACUACGGCAACGUCGUAAACACGAGGAGGGCAGAGGCCGUUCCCACCACAAGCUAAUUAGAGAGCACUUACACAACUUCACAGCACGAGCUUGUGGUUGCUGCAGGUGAAAAGAACUCAACAUAAAGUACACACCACAGCGCCUUUUCCCCGUGAUGACUGACAUGCCAUCGGCCGAGGUGUCUGUGUCCUUUUGAAGAUACACAGAGCCCCUCAACUCUAACAUCAGGCCUACAACCACCAAAAGGUCAUAAAGGCUUCUGGAUAUUCAUUACGAUGAUGACGGGAUCUUGGCCAGCAUUUCACAUCAGAUCAGCAGCGCUGAGGGUGCAGCGACAACGGCAGAGUGCACUUGUUGUAAAUGCAAUCCACUCACCAGCUACAACGUUUAUGAGGCUAGCAGCCCCCCCCCCCCUCAGUGUUUAGGUCCACUCUACUGAGUCACUAUUCAGAGGUUUCAUCUUCAUUCCUCAUUAUGGCAAACAUUUGCAUCCGUGAUUGUGCCCUUUAGGUAUCUUUAGAUGUAACGACCACUAAAACAUUGCAUCAAACUACAUGGGCAUGUACAUGCUGGAGUACAAUCAAAAUGAUAAUAAUUGCUCCAACCCUAUAACAUGUAUGUGUUUUCUGCUCCAACAACAAAUGAACACAUAUCUUAUCCAUUACAGUCACUAUCCUCUAAGAAGUUACUCCUUUACAUUAAGUAAAGUUGACCAUUUGUCUCAUGAUAAUAUGGAUUUCACACACAUAAGAAGUUAAGUGAAUUACGUCUUUCUUUCGUCCAUAAAUUAAAUCGAAUUUCAUGACCAACCCAACCAAGCAACAGCAUGUUUCAGUUAUCGCUUUUUUUCUUUCCGGACAAGCUAUCCAUCUUCCACUGAGGUCAGGUGACAUGCACUGCUCCACUGAUAUAAUUAAGAGAGGCUGUAAUGGCUGGGAAACAUCAAUAAGUGAGUCAUGCUACAAUGGAUUGCAGCAUGAACACAAACUACAGCUGAAGCUGAUGGGAAUGAGAUUUGUUUUUCAGUUAUUUGUGUCAAAACUUUGAACUGCUGGAGGCGCUAAAAGAAAAGUUAGAGAACCACGACAGCAACGAAGCUUCAUCGUCCGGGAACAACGGAGAACUCGACCACAUUUCACAGCAAUCUGUCCAAUAGUUAAUGACAUAAUUCAGUUUGGACCAAAGUGUUCAACACGCAGACAUUUAGCAUCGCUUAAAACUAAAAAGCAUCAUCUGCAGAAAUAAAGACAAGAAGGACU